rnacentral:rRNA from 1 species
AUCUAUGGCCAUACCACCCUGAACUUGACUGAUCUCGUCUGAUCUCAGAAGCUAAGCACCGUUGAGCCUGGCUAGUACUUAGAUA